rnacentral:rRNA from 2 species
CCUACGGGAGGCAGCAGUAGGGAAUCUUCCACAAUGGACGAAAGUCUGAUGGAGCAACGCCGCGUGAGUGAUGAAGGUUUUCGGAUCGUAAAACUCUGUUGUAAGGGAAGAACAAGUACGUUAGGAAAUGAACGUACCUUGACGGUACCUUAUUAGAAAGCCACGGCUAACUACGUGCCAGCAGCCGCGGUAAUACGUAGGUGGCAAGCGUUGUCCGGAUUUAUUGGGCGUAAAGCGCGCGCAGGUGGUUUCUUAAGUCUGAUGUGAAAGCCCACGGCUCAACCGUGGAGGGUCAUUGGAAACUGGGAGACUUGAGUGCAGAAGAGGAUAGUGGAAUUCCAAGUGUAGCGGUGAAAUGCGUAGAGAUUUGGAGGAACACCAGUGGCGAAGGCGACUGUCUGGUCUGUAACUGACACUGAGGCGCGAAAGCGUGGGGAGCAAACAGGAUUAGAUACCCUGGUAGUCCACGCCGUAAACGAUGAGUGCUAAGUGUUAGGGGGUUUCCGCCCCUUAGUGCUGCAGCUAACGCAUUAAGCACUCCGCCUGGGGAGUACGACCGCAAGGUUGAAACUCAAAGGAAUUGACGGGGGCCCGCACAAGCGGUGGGAGCAUGUGGUUUAAUUCGAAGCAACGCGAAGAACCUUAC